rnacentral:lncRNA from 1 species
AGCAUGGACCCACAAGCUUGCUGCCCUCCAUUGGACAGAAUUUGGGAGCGCACUGGGGAAGAUACAGACCCCCAACCUUUCAUGUACAAGCAUGGUAUGAUGAAGUGAGAGACUUUAGCUACCCAUAUGAACAUGAGUGCGACCCUUACUGUCCUUUCAGAUGCUCUGGCCCUGUUUGUACACACUACACUCAGGUGGUGUGGGCUACAAGUAGCAGAAUAGGCUGUGCCAUCAAUCUGUGCCACAACAUGAACAUCUGGGGGCAGAUAUGGCCCAAGGCUGUCUACUUGGUGUGCAAUUACUCUCCCAAGGGAAAUUGGUGGGGUCAUGCCCCUUACAAACAUGGAAAACCUUGUUCUGCUUGCCCGCCCAGUUUUGGAGGAGGCUGUAGAGAAAACUUGUGCUACAAAGAAGGGUCGGACCAGUAUUAUACCCCUCAAGAAGAAGAAACAAAUGAAAUUGAACGGCAGGAGUCCCAGGUCCAUGACACUCAUGUUCGGACAAGAUCAGAUGAUAGUAAUAGAAAUGACGUCAUCAGCACUCAGCAGAUGUGUAAGA